rnacentral:rRNA from 1 species
UCCACGCCCUGAACGAUGAACACUAGUCGUCGGGAUGCUAGUCAUCUCGGUGAUGCACUUAACAGAUUAAGUGUUCCGCCUAGGGAGUACGGUCGCAAGAUUAAAACUCAAAGGAAUAGACGGGGACCCGCACAAGUGGUGGAGCAUGUGGUUUAAUUCGAAGAUACGCGAAGAACCUUACCUAGCCUUGACAUUGAUUGAAUUCCGCAGAGAUGUGGAAGUGCCCUUCGGGG